UGAGAAAAUACCUCCAUAAAAUAGGCAAGCCUGUAGGGCAUUUUUUUUAAUUGUUGCUUGAUGGGGAAGGGCCCAGCCCAUUGUGGGUAGUGCCAUCCCUGGGCUGAUCUUCUACAAGAAAGCAGGCUAUGGAAGCCAAUAAGCAGCACACCACUAUGGUCUCUACAUCAACUCCUGCCUCCAGGUUCCUGCCCUGUUUGAGCUCUUGUCCUGACUUUCUGCAGUGAUGAACAGUGAUGUGGGAAGCCCUAAAGAACAGUAGGACACAUUUACCCAGGCCAGGCGGUGGUGCUGCAUGCCUUUCUACCCAGCACUCUGGAGUCCUAGACAGGUGGAUCUCUGAGCUCAAGGCCAGUCUGGUCUACCGAAUGAAUUCCAGGAGAGCCAGGGAUUUACCAAGAAACCCCGUCUUUAAAAAAACCCAACAACAACAUCCACGGACACUCCAGAACAACAACAUAGACUAACGCACCAGAGUGCUGGACUCAAAGGUACUGAUGACUCCGUGUGAGAAGCGAGAACUCUGGUGCUGCCCCAGCCUUUAUCUCCACCACUCUUACUGUAGUGGAUUUAAGUGAAAGCAAAGCUCCAAGGAAAUGAAGAGAGUUUGAAAGCAACCGACUUUCACAGCUUAGUUGUUUAUGACCAACGAUGAAGCUGGGAUGGUGGCUUG
rnacentral:lncRNA from 1 species